AAUCCAAACUACAUACAUAUUAUUAAUGAUAAAGUUGAGCAAGAACUGCUUUCUGAAGCUGAGACUGCAUGGACACAGCGUGAAUGGUCAAUACAACAUGUGCUUUUUCUUUCCAUGAGACUCUUUCUAAAACCACCUGUUUCUAUGGCUACAGAUGGAACCUUUGUUCGGGUAGCUUCAUUGGAGAAACUGUACAAGAUUUUUGAAAGAUGCUAGGCAACCAUAUGGAUUCUUGCUCUCUGCGAUAUCCUCUUUAAUAUUGUGCUCUUGUGAAUAUGUAACUAUAGUAUUCACGGAGCUCGUCUCAAAGAUUUCCUUGGUCUGGUGAUUCUGAAUCAUGUUUCUUGUAAAGUACUUUCGAAUGUAAAAAGUAUUUUGAGAACAAUUGAAUUGGAUGUGUUCUUGUGUAUUACUUUCGUGUCAUUGCAGCCAGCCAGCCACAAACGAACGAUUCUGAUAUCCUGCUUUGUGGUCAUUCUUCGAGCAGCCAAUCCUAAUGUUGGAUAAAUACUUCCGGUUUUGUUAUGCAGCUAACGUUUACCAUUGAAUUUUGUUGAUAUAUAUAAGGAUUGACCAAGGAUUCCUUUAUUUGAAGUAAGGAACUUUCUUAGAAUGUAAAAUGUAAAUAUAAUAUCCCAUCACACACCGUGUAAUGUACAAAAAUCGAUUGCUUUUGCUGAA